UGCAAGUAGAACGCUGAAGAGAGGAGCUUGCUCUUCUUGAAUGAGUUGCGAACGGGUGAGUAACGCGUAGGUAACCUGCCUUGUAGCGGGGGAUAACUAUUGGAAACGAUAGCUAAUACCGCAUAACAAUGGGUGACACAUGUCAUUUAUUUGAAAGGGGCAAUUGCUCCACUACAAGAUGGACCUGCGUUGUAUUAGCUAGUAGGUGAGGUAACGGCUCACCUAGGCGACGAUACAUAGCCGACCUGAGAGGGUGAUCGGCCACACUGGGACUGAGACACGGCCCAGACUCCUACGGGAGGCAGCAGUAGGGAAUCUUCGGCAAUGGGGGCAACCCUGACCGAGCAACGCCGCGUGAGUGAAGAAGGUUUUCGGAUCGUAAAGCUCUGUUGUAAGUCAAGAACGAGUGUGAGAGUGGAAAGUUCACACUGUGACGGUAGCUUACCAGAAAGGGACGGCUAACUACGUGCCAGCAGCCGCGGUAAUACGUAGGUCCCGAGCGUUGUCCGGAUUUAUUGGGCGUAAAGCGAGCGCAGGCGGUUUGAUAAGUCUGAAGUUAAAGGCUGUGGCUCAACCAUAGUUCGCUUUGGAAACUGUCAAACUUGAGUGCAGAAGGGGAGAGUGGAAUUCCAUGUGUAGCGGUGAAAUGCGUAGAUAUAUGGAGGAACACCGGUGGCGAAAGCGGCUCUCUGGUCUGUAACUGACGCUGAGGCUCGAAAGCGUGGGGAGCGAACAGGAUUAGAUACCCUGGUAGUCCACGCCGUAAACGAUGAGUGCUAGGUGUUGGAUCCUUUCCGGGAUUCAGUGCCGCAGCUAACGCAUUAAGCACUCCGCCUGGGGAGUACGACCGCAAGGUUGAAAC
rnacentral:rRNA from 1 species